rnacentral:rRNA from 1 species
CCCUUAGAUGUUCUGGGCCACACACGCGCUACACUGAAGGAGGCAGCGUGUACUCCUGGAUCGAAAGAUUUGGGUAACCCGCGAAUCUCCUUCGUGCUAGGGAUUGAGGUUUGCAAUUAUCCUUCAUGAACGAGGAAUUCCCAGUAAGUGCAAGUCAUAAGCUUGCGCUGACUACGUCCCUGCCCUUUGUACACACCGCCCGUCGCUACUACCGAUUGAAUGAUUUAGUGAGGACUUCGGACUGGGACCGAUGCGGCUUUCGGGCUGCGUCGGUAUUCUGGAAAGAUGUCCAAACUGUAUCAUUUAGAGGAAGUAAAANUCGUANCA